rnacentral:tRNA from 1 species
GCGUGGGUGGCCCAGCUUGGUCAAAGGCGCAGGGCUCAGAAUCCUGUCCCGUAGGGGUUCGCAGGUUCAAAUCCUGCCCCACGCA